AAAACCUUGAGGGGAAGCCUGAUAGGGAAAGCCCAAAAAGAACAAUAUUUGCUAGCGGUGAGCUUGGGAUGUUACAAAAACAGUGCCUAACACUUCCCUAGUGCGGAAGAUCCACAAUUCUGCCACCGGGGGCAUGGUUAUGUUUUUUCAAUGGAUCUCUACCUUCAUUAGAGCAGGCCAUGCUUCUCAAGUCUUCAGGCUCAAGGUAGAUUGCAUAUCGUUCAAAAGUUGUGUCUCGUGACGUGGCAUUGAAUAUCUUUCACUACAAGGAAAGUUUCUUGAUGGUCUCGAGUCUAAAUGAUCGUGUUGACGUGAAAACUGUGUUCUUGACCAUUGACCCCACCCCCCACAAGCUUUAUCUGAUUAUCGCAAAUGAUUUGGCGCUCGAGGAGGAGCUCUACCUCCCUAGCAUAUGGCUUACAAUUUCUAGAAUUGGACUACAGCUCAACUCUAGAUGCUCCUAUACUGUUCUACCGUGGCCCAUCACCCUAUGCAUAAUCCUCUGGUAUCUUUAACUCUAUGACUGUUACUUUUAUACUGUGCCCCAUUACCCUAUUGCAUAAUCUUCUGGUAUUUUCACUAGCGAUCCAAGUUGUGCCAUUCUAAAACGUGUAUGAACACAACUUUUUUGUCAGAAAUACUCGCACUCUUUAUUAACACCAAUUAAGAAGAGAUUACAUGACA